rnacentral:tRNA from 1 species
GGACAGGUGGCAGAGCCCGGUUGAAUGCGCCUGACUCGAAAUCAGGUAGGCCCGCAAGGGCCUCGGGGGUUCGAAUCCCUCCCUGUCCGCCA